UCGACGACUCUGGCAUUUCCACGUUUUCCAGAAUCAAAACAUGAAUGCUUGCGAAGAGAAGUCGAUGAAGGCUAUGCCUCUCGAUUUCUCGAUGAAGGAUAUGCCUCUCGAUUUCCCUAAAGAGAAUAGACAGGUUCCACUAUAGCACUUCUGAGAUCCUUUAAAUUAGCCUCAAAUUAAAAGAAAUCAAGGAGAAGUAGGAAGUAAGCGUGGGGCCAGAGGAAACGUAUUAGAAUUCCAAACGGAGCCACCAUUCCAACUGGACCCAGUGUAGUUAUUGAAACAACCGCAGUGCCAUUACAGUGACAAUCACAAGACUGAGUUUUUAAUUAUAUUUCAUUUAUUUUUGUAAUAAUUAGUAACAAAAUUGAUGUAAAAAUAAUAAAGAUGUAAAGUGUA